rnacentral:lncRNA from 1 species
GGGCCAUGGUGGCACAUGACUGUAGUCCCAGCUACUUGGGCGGCUGAGGAAGGAAGAUUGCUUGAGCCUGGGAGAUCGAGAGGUCGGGGCUGCAGCAAGCCAAGAUCACACUACUGCACUCCAGCCUGGGAGACAGAGUCUCACUCUGUCUCCAAAACAAAACAAAACAGAAACAGGCUCCAUCCAGGAAGCAGACCAUCCAGGGAAGAGAGUGGGGGCUCUGCCACUUAGCAGCUGUCGGGCUCUGGGCAAGUCACUUAAUCGCUCUGUGCCUCAGUUUACUCGUGUAAAAUCGGGGUGCUCCCUGCACCUACCUCCUCCAGUCCUUCUGUGAGUGAAGGAGCUGAUGCUUGUAAGUGGCCUAGACCAGAACCAAGCUGGGGCGAGCCAAGGGAGAUGGUGAACACCUGGGGGUCUGACCCUCAUGAGGAUUUGAAGUGAACUGUACUACCUGCAGCCCAUGGAGCGCACAGCAGGGAGGAGCAGCAGGGAGGGACAGGUAACCAACAAGGCGACCCUCUAAACACAGCACUGGGAGGAAAAGCAGCAGGAGGAGAAACAGAAGCAGUAUCCUUUCUGUAAAGCAAAAAUCCAUCGCACAAAGCAAGCAAUUCACUCCAGCACAGGAGGUCGCUGACGGGGAGGGGAAUGAAAAUAAAAGGGAAUUUUAUAAAUAGGAGUAUAUAUUUUUAUAUAUAAUAAUGUAUAGUUUUAUAUUUCUAUUAUGUAUUAUGUAAUGUCUAAUAUAUGAGAGUACACACACACACACUUUUU